AUGUUAUUUGCUGUGUGGAUAGAGAGGUUACCACACAGGUGUUUUUUGAGUGAUUUGGUAUCUAUUUGGGUUACACGCUUAAACUCUGUAUUCAUAUUUCUAAUUCCAGUCUACAAUCCUGUCCGUAGAUUGCAAAGCCAGCCUUAUCUUGAUUAGAUAGUAAAGCCACCAGAAGCAGAGAAGGAUUAUUAUUGUUAUUAAUAAUAAUAUUUAUAAAUCGACAACAUAUUCUGCAGCAUUGUACAAUGGAUGGACUAAUAGACAAGUAUUUGUAACCAGAUGAUUUAGAUGCACAGGAACAGAGCAAAUAUGCUAGAGGGAGU